rnacentral:rRNA from 1 species
GCGGUAAUUCCAGCUCCAAUAGCGUAUAUUAAAGUUGUUGCGGUUAAAAAGCUCGUAGUUGGAUUUCUGCCGAGGACGACCGGUCCGCCCUCUGGGUGAGUAUCUGGCUCGGCCUGGGCAUCUUCUUGGAGAACGUAGCUGCACUUGACUGUGUGGUGCGGUAUCCAGGACAUUUACUUUGAGGAAAUUAGAGUGUUUCAAGCAGGCAUACGCCUUGAAUACAUUAGCAUGGAAUAAUAAGAUAGGACUUUGGUACUAUUUUGUUGGUUUGCAUACCAAAUUAAUGAUCAACAGGAACAGUUUGAGGAUAUUCGUAUGAACAUGUCAGAGGUGAAAUUCUUGGAUUUUGAUCAGACGAACUACUGCGAAAGCAUUUAUCAAGGAUGUUUUCAUUAAUCAAGAACGAAAGUUAGGGGAUCGAAGACGUCAGAUACCG